CGUUGAAACACCGUUUCCCGUAUGAUCACCGAAGUUAAGCUACAUCGAGCCUGGUCAGUAUUUAGAUGGUGGACCGCUUGGGAAUACCAGUUGCAGCAG